GGGCACAUGGUGUAGAUGGUUUAUCACGCCCGCUUAGCAUCGUCUGAUAGGUUACAAACUUACAUGCAUUGCGGGAGGUGUUGGAUUCAAGUCCCAAUGUGUCCA
rnacentral:tRNA from 1 species